GACGAACGCUGGCGGCGUGCUUAACACAUGCAAGUCGAACGGAAAGGCCCUGCUUUUGUGGGGUGCUCGAGUGGCGAACGGGUGAGUAACACGUGAGUAACCUGCCCUUGACUUUGGGAUAACUUCAGGAAACUGGGGCUAAUACCGGAUAGGAGCUCCUGCUGCAUGGUGGGGGUUGGAAAGUUUCGGCGGUUGGGGAUGGACUCGCGGCUUGUCAGCUUGUUGAUGGGGUAGUGGCUUACCAAGGCUUUGACGGGUAGCCGGCCUGAGAGGGUGACCGGCCACAUUGGGACUGAGAUACGGCCCAGACUCCUACGGGAGGCAGCAGUGGGGAAUAUUGCACAAUGGGCGGAAGCCUGAUGCAGCAACGCCGCGUGCGGGAUGAUGGCCUUCGGGUUGUAAACCGCUUUCGCCUGUGACGAAGCGUGAGUGACGGUAAUGGGUAAAGAAGCACCGGCUAACUACGUG
rnacentral:rRNA from 1 species